rnacentral:rRNA from 1 species
CGUGUAGGCGGUUUGUUAAGUCAUGUGUGAAAUCCCUCGGCUUAACCGGGGAACGACGCAUGAAACUGGCAAGCUAGAGUACCAAAGAGGGGGGUGGAAUUCCCGGUGUAGCGGUGGAAAUGCGUAGAUAUCGGGAGGAACACCUGUGGCGAAGGCGGCCCCCUGGUUGGAUACUGACGCUGAGACGCGAAAGCGUGGGGAGCAAACAGGAUUAGAUACCCUGGUAGUCCACGCUGUAAACGGAUGGGCACUAGGUGUCCGGGGUAUUGACCCCCUGGGUGCCGCAGCUAACGCAUUAAGUGCCCCGCCUGGGGAGUACGGUCGCAAGAUUAAA